rnacentral:rRNA from 1 species
GACGAACGCUGGCGGCGUGCUUAACACAUGCAAGUCGAACGGAAAGGCCCUGCUUUUGGGGGGUGCUCGAGUGGCGAACGGGUGAGUAACACGUGAGUAACCUGCCCUUGACUUUGGGAUAACUUCAGGAAACUGGGGCUAAUACCGGAUAGGAGCUCCUGCUGCAUGGUGGGGGUUGGAAAGUUUCGGCGGUUGGGGAUGGACUCGCGGCUUAUCAGCUUGUUGGUGGGGUAGUGGCUUACCAAGGCUUUGACGGGUAGCCGGCCUGAGAGGGUGACCGGCCACGUUGGGACUGAGAUACGGCCCAGACUCCUACGGGAGGGAGCAGUGGGGAGUAUUGCACAAUGGGCGGAAGCCUGGUGCAGCAACGCCGCGUGCGGGGUGACGGCCUUCGGUUUGUAAACCGCUUUCGCCUGUGACGAAGCGUGAGUGACGGUAAUGGGUAAAGAAGCACCGGCUAACUACGUG